GAGAAAUGCAGAGAAAGAAAGAGACAGAGACAGAGAGAUACAAAGAGACAGAGACAGAAAUAGAGAGACACGCGUGUCUCCCAGGCCGCCGUCCCGCCCAGUUCUAGGCCUGGCUGCAGUCCUGCCCCCGGUGCCCAGAGAGCCCUUCUCCCAUCACGGGCCAUCUCCACUGAGCCAUGUGCUAAGCAUCAGCUCCUGGGAGCCACGGUGUCCCCUCACACCUGCAGUGAGGACUGAGAAAGCUGCAGAUGGGAGGCGAGGCAGCGACACAGCCGGCUGGCACUAGGCAUGGGGUGACAAGGUGCAUGGCGCGGCCAGGACAGCCUUGUGCAGGGGACAGCGGAAGCUCAGGAGACAAGCCACAGCAGCCUCAUCAACGGCCCCGCUGCUGCCGCGGGAAUCGCCCACACUACCCACAGGCUCCCCACCAGCCCUGGGUGCAGGAGACACUGAGGUAGGUCCUGUCCUGGGAGGUGUGGGAGCCUGCUGAGGGCUGGCUUUGGCGGGAGCUCCAGCCCAUGGGGGAACAGUGGCCAGCGCUGGGAAGUAAAGAUCCCCCACGCCUAGGCUGGCCAGUUUCCAUGGGGGCAGCACAGCCCACCUCACGUCUCCAGUGGCUCACACUCGGAACGUUUGCCAGCCUGCUCUGCUGAGCGGUGUGAGCCACCUGAGUGGCCCCAGCACCUCCCAGCUGAUGCCCCCACCUGCAGCCCCCAGGACGCACCCCCACUCCUGCAGGCUCAGACCCCACUGCAGCCUGGGCUCCCAGCCGCCGCCAGUGCUCACACGUUUUCUCCUGCAGGUGUUUUUCCCAAUAAAAUCUGUGCAUCUCUCA